UACGUAGGGUGCGAGCGUUGUCCGGAAUUAUUGGGCGUAAAGAGCUCGUAGGCGGUCUGUCGCGUCUGCUGUGAAAUCCCGAGGCUCAACCUCGGGCCUGCAGUGGGUACGGGCAGACUAGAGUGCGGUAGGGGAGAACGGAAUUCCUGGUGUAGCGGUGAAAUGCGCAGAUAUCAGGAGGAACACCGGUGGCGAAGGCGGUUCUCUGGGCCAUAACUGACGCUGAGGAGCGAAAGCGUGGGGAGCGAACAGG
rnacentral:rRNA from 1 species